rnacentral:rRNA from 1 species
AGCCGAGCGGUAGAGAUCUUUCGGGAUCUUGAGAGCGGCGUACGGGUGCGGAACACGUGUGCAACCUGCCUUUAUCUGGGGGAUAGCCUUUCGAAAGGAAGAUUAAUACCCCAUAAUAUAUUGAAUGGCAUCAUUUGAUAUUGAAAACUCCGGUGGAUAGAGAUGGGCACGCGCAAGAUUAGAUAGUUGGUGAGGUAACGGCUCACCAAGUCAGCGAUCUUUAGGGGGCCUGAGAGGGUGAUCCCCCACACUGGUACUGAGACACGGACCAGACUCCUACGGGAGGCAGCAGUGAGGAAUAUUGGACAAUGGGUGAGAGCCUGAUCCAGCCAUCCCGCGUGAAGGACGACGGCCCUAUGGGUUGUAAACUUCUUUUGUAUAGGGAUAAACCUACCCUCGUGAGGGUAGCUGAAGGUACUAUACGAAUAAGCACCGGCUAACUCCGUGCCAGCAGCCGCGGUAAUACGGAGGGUGCAAGCGUUAUCCGGAUUUAUUGGGUUUAAAGGGUCCGUAGGCUGAUUUGUAAGUCAGUGGUGAAAUCUCACAGCUUAACUGUGAAACUGCCAUUGAUACUGCAAGUCUUGAGUGUUGUUGAAGUAGCUGGAAUAAGUAGUGUAGCGGUGAAAUGCAUAGAUAUUACUUAGAACACCAAUUGCGAAGGCAGGUUACUAAGCAACAACUGACGCUGAUGGACGAAAGCGUGGGGAGCGAACAGGAUUAGAUACCCUGGUAGUCCACGCCGUAAACGAUGCUAACUCGUUUUUGGGCUUUUGGGUUCAGAGACUAAGCGAAAGUGAUAAGUUAGCCACCUGGGGAGUACGAACGCAAGUUUGAAACUCAAAGGAAUUGACGGGGGCCCGCACAAGCGGUGGAUUAUGUGGUUUAAUUCGAUGAUACGCGAGGAACCUUACCAAGGCUUAAAUGGGAAAUGACAGGCUUAGAAAUAGGCUUUUCUUCGGACAUUUUUCAAGGUGCUGCAUGGUUGUCGUCAGCUCGUGCCGUGAGGUGUUAGGUUAAGUCCUGCAACGAGCGCAACCCCUGUCACUAGUUGCCAUCAUUAAGUUGGGGACUCUAGUGAGACUGCCUACGCAAGUAGAGAGGAAGGUGGGGAUGACGUCAAAUCAUCACGGCCCUUACGCCUUGGGCCACACACGUAAUACAAUGGCCGGUACAGAGGGCAGCUACACUGCGAAGUGAUGCAAAUCUCGAAAGCCGGUCUCAGUUCGGAUUGGAGUCUGCAACUCGACUCUAUGAAGCUGGAAUCGCUAGUAAUCGCGCAUCAGCCAUGGCGCGGUGAAUACGUUCCCGGGCCUUGUACACACCGCCCGUCAAGCCAUGGAAGUCUGGGGUACCUGAAGUCGGUGACCGUAACA